rnacentral:lncRNA from 1 species
CUGUAUGUGCAUUUAUCUGCAAGUCUUCUACAUAUCAUUCAAUAAUCUGAAUGUUACUAAAUUGCAAAAUCAUCUGCGAGCCCCCCACGCAAUUAUAAGCACGUCAGAUACUACUACCAAGUCUUUAUAUCUUAUACUAAAAAAUGAACAAAAUCACAAAAGCAAAAAUAUAAAUAAAAAAAUAACACUAAAUUAAUCAGAUAUAUACUUCAAAUAUACUCUAACACCAAACGAACUAUACCACUACAGAAAAAUAUGGAAGUGACUUCUAUGCCUAAAGGGAGAGAGAUAAUUAAUUGAAUAUAUGAAGAAAAUAAAAAUCAAACACAAGCGUGGCCACCACCGUCACAAGUGCAACCACCGUUACCAGAGAUAAUAUCACUAUCUUGUCUCGGUUUGGUGCUGAGGCAACAACACAUAAGAGCCACCACCAACAUGAAUCCCCAUGCUGAAGCCAAAGCCUGUGCCCAGCUCAAGUAAUGCUUCAUUAGUUUAAUUUUCCUUCUUAUUAAUCACCCAAACCUAGCUAUCUCUCUGCCUUGGAUCCUCAGCUAGCUCCUUAAUUUCUUCAACUAAUAUUAUAAAUGCCAUUAAUAAUAUGAUGCUAGUUGAGACAUGAGAUAUUAAUUAGCAUAGGUUGCAUGGUAUGUAUGCUAUGGCAUGGUAUCCCUUUGGGGGAAGAGAAUAAUGGUAUCAACUGGGAUGAUGAUAAUGAUGAUAAGAGGUUUGAGUGAGACAUGGUGUCGCACAUGGUAUGAGCUUGAAAGAGUCUGAAAUAACAUGGGCCAACCUG